UACGAAGGGGGCUAGCGUUGCUCGGAAUGACUGGGCGUAAAGGGCGCGUAGGCGGUUCAUACAGUCAGAUGUGAAAUUCCUGGGCUCAACCUGGGGGCUGCAUUUGAUACGUGUGGACUAGAGUGGGGAAGAGGGUCGUGGAAUUCCCAGUGUAGAGGUGAAAUUCGUAGAUAUUGGGAAGAACACCGGUGGCGAAGGCGGCUCACUGGCUCAUUACUGACGCUCAGGCGCGAUAGCGUGGGGAUCAAACAGG
rnacentral:rRNA from 1 species